GAGUUUCUGAACUACUACAACUCCCUCAAAAAUUUCUGCACUAAUCGGGGAGACCUUUGUACAUACCCAAAAUUCUCAAAAAUUUCUGCACCCUCCUUCGCAACUUUUGUAUAUCCCUUGGCAAGUAAAUGGAGAGUUUUUGUGGUGCUAAUCCAUGCAAUCAAUGCCAUGAUUCGAGCAGUGUCUUCUAGAGUGGGUGAUCACAAGUAUAGUUAUUCAAACAUUAGAGCAUCUCCAGAGGCUGUAAACUAGGUUUGCGCUAAAAAACCCGUCAAUAUAUAGCGUCGAACUGUAAUCUGGCAACGCAAUCUUUCCCACGGCGCGAAGAAAAAACUGCUCUGAAUUGUCCUCUCCGCGCUGGGACGAUGAGAAGGUUCGCCGGCCGCGCACGGCCUUGCCCGUCCCUCCGCGCAGAGCCAAGCGAGGCCAAAGUCCCCUCUUUUGUUCUGCCUGCCUGCGCCGUGUCGUCCGCCGUCGGCUCUCCCGCGUGCUUUUCUCCUGCUGCAAUCGGACCUUGGUGAGGGAGCGUGAGGCGGCGGUGCUCGAUGGGUGCCUUCUUUCCCCGCGCGGUCGGACUGAUUCACAGUAUCCUGACAGUUUGGUGCUCGAUUGGUGCUCGAUUGGACGGAUUGGUGCUCGAUUGGACGGAUUGGUGCUGCAAUCGAACCAAGAAACCGAGGUGAGGCUUUCUGAACGGAGGAUGGAUUGGAAGGAAAGAAUGGGUGCGGAGACGGCUGAUAAAUUUAGUUGACUUUUUUUUUAGAUUUAUUUUGUAUCCUGUUUGAUCUUGUUUGUUACAUGUAUGUUGAAAAACUUAU